UACGGAGGGUGCGAGCGUUGUCCGGAAUCACUGGGCGUAAAGGGCGCGUAGGCGGCCGUGUAAGUCACCUGUGAAAUCCCGGGGCUCAACUCCGGGGCCGCAGGUGAGACUGCGUGGCUAGAGCACGGUAGAGGCGAGUGGAAUUCCCGGUGUAGCGGUGGAAUGCGUAGAUAUCGGGAGGAACACCUGCGGUGUAGACGGCUUACUGGACCGUGACUGACGCUGAGGCACGAAAGCGUGGGUAGCAAACAGG
rnacentral:rRNA from 1 species